ensembl:lncRNA
ACAAAGGGUCGGGGUGCAGAGAGGGGCAGCGGCAGUGCCAUUUUGUGGGGCGUCUGCCUUGACAAAAUGGCUUUCCCCCCUGUCGUUUUGAGAGCUUUUCUUGCUUUAGAGCCAGGUUUUGCACCCCUUUGAACUACACAGGGUCUUCACCGCUGAAAUCUAACUUAAGUUGUGUGAGCAAAUCCCACUGCUGAGAGCUGCUAAUUAAGCAUAACUGACGUGGUGAAGGAAAAGGACACGAGGAGCCUUCAAGCCCAGGAGGAUUAUGGUAUGGUUCUUAACCUGGGAGGUUUGCUAAUGAAAAGUGGUGGUCCUAUAUUGACAUAGAAGUCUCUUCCCAAGGCCAGCAUGCACCUCUGACUGGUGUGUUGGGAUGGGAUGGCCUCAUAACUUAAUCCACAUAUUCCUGCCUCCACAUCUCCUUGAUUGGGUGUUCAGGGAUGUGGAAAUGUGAGACUGUAAAGGAUGCAUAUACUUCUGCUGUUCUUGGAUAAUGUUUUGGACAGUCUCUUCUGGAAUGUAGCUUCUAAAAAUUACUCUUUUUUCCUCUGGCAAAUAUAACAGCCUGAGACAUUUCUCAUAUGGAAAGACCUGAAGGAGAAAACAAGAAGGUAAAGAGGGGGACAUAACUUUGAUAGGAUAUUUUUUCAGAAGAUGGAGCAUCUGUGCACGGCAAAGAAAUAUUUAAGACAAAGAAAUUCUAAUCCCGAUCGUUUAAAGAUUAAUUAAAGCAUCUUGCUUUACUCAUUGCCAUAAUUCCACCAUUUGAUUAACCUUAGCUGUCACCUGAAUAGAGCUAGGGCUGUGCUUUGUCCCACCAGAGCCCUCUCCCCACACUCUGUGAGCAGCACUUCAGUAUGUCCGUAUCCUCAGCCUGGCCACUGGGAAAGUGUGUAUGAAUAAGCUGCACGACAGGGUCAUAAAUAACAUGGAGAGCAGAACAAAUCUUGGCAGCAGAUCACAGCUGCUGGGGAGACAAGAGCUAUGGUAGACACAUGAGAAGAAAAGGAAAAGAAGAGUAAUAUUUAAGAGGAAAGUAGAAAUUUUACUGUUAGUCUCUGUUCCAUUGAAAUCAGACCAUUUCUGACCUUGGUUUCUUUGUUAGCAGGCUUGGUCUCCUGAUUUCUUAAAUGCUUUUCUUUUUGUCUAACCUGUCAGGGAAGGACUGAUGCUUUAAAACCAUUAGAAAAUCUGCUUUCCUUAUGGAAAGUCAAAUUCAAAACUAUAAAAGGCAAUCAGCUUUGAAGGAGAUCACAUCACUCCCAAAAAGACUUGUAUACUGUACAUGCAUAUCUCUAAAUCCACAAAGUGCAUUUCUAUCCUUAAGUCUGUGUGACCUUUCAUGGAAUGCAGGCCUAAGUAUUUUUUCAAUCUCUUGUGUCCAUCACAAAGUCCAAGCACCAUUAUUGCACAAAAUUCUUUUUUCCUCUUUUAAGUUUCAUAACCAAAAUCUCUUCAAACUGUGUUUUAAAACUGUAGCAAGACUUUAAGACUUGUCUGGAAAACCUUCAAACAAUUACAAAUAUGCACACAAAAAAUAUGUGCUUAGAUGAGGUAAUCCACAAGAGGGUUUUUAAGUGGCCUUUUGAAAACCAACUAUUGUAUAUAUAAAUGUCAAAAUUAAUUAAAAAUCAACAAAAAAC